rnacentral:rRNA from 1 species
GAUGAACGCUAGCUACAGGCUUAACACAUGCAAGUCGAGGGGUAACAAGAGAAAAGCUUGCUUUUCUUGUUGACGACCGGCGCACGGGUGAGUAACGCGUAUCCAACCUGCCUAUAACUAGGGAAUAACCUUGCGAAAGUAAGACUAAUACCCUAUAAUUUCCUCAGAUGUCAUCUGACGAGGAAUAAAGAUUUAUCGGUUGAGGAUGGGGAUGCGUCUGAUUAGCUUGUUGGCGGGGUAACGGCCCACCAAGGCAACGAUCAGUAGGGGUUCUGAGAGGAAGGCCCCCCACAUUGGAACUGAGACACGGUCCAAACUCCUACGGGAGGCAGCAGUGAGGAAUAUUGGUCAAUGGGCGAAAGCCUGAACCAGCCAAGUAGCGUGCAGGAUGACGGCCCUAUGGGUUGUAAACUGCUUUUAUACAGGAAUAAAGUUAGCCACGUGUGGUUAUUUGUAGGUACUGUAUGAAUAAGGACCGGCUAAUUCCGUGCCAGCAGCCGCCGUAA